UACGAGUGCUCCAAGCGUUAUCCGGAAUUACUGGGCGUAAAGGGUGUGUAGGUGGUUAUAUUAGUCUCUUGUUAAAGCUCCCGGCUCAACCGGGAAAAGGCAGGGGAAACGGUAUAACUUGAAGAUACGAGAGGUAUGUAGAACUCAUGGUGUAGGGGUGAAAUCCGUUGAUAUCAUGGGGAAUACCAAAAGCGAAGGCAGCAUACUAGCGUACUCUUGACACUGAAACACGAAAGCGUGGGUAGCGAAUGGG
rnacentral:rRNA from 1 species